rnacentral:rRNA from 1 species
AGAGUUUGAUCCUGGCUCAGAUUGAACGCUGGCGGCAUGCCUUACACAUGCAAGUCGAACGGCAGCGCGGGGGGUAACUCCUGGCGGCGAGUGGCGAACGGGUGAGUAAUAUAUCGGAACGUGCCCUGGAGUGGGGGAUAACUAGUCGAAAGAUUAGCUAAUACCGCAUACGAUCUACGGAUGAAAGUGGGGGAUUCGCAAGAACCUCAUGCUCGUGGAGCGGCCGAUAUCUGAUUAGCUAGUUGGUAGGGUAAAAGCCUACCAAGGCGACGAUCAGUAGCUGGUUUGAGAGAACGACCAGCCACACUGGGACUGAGACACGGCCCAGACUCCUACGGGAGGCAGCAGUGGGGAAUUUUGGACAAUGGGGGCAACCCUG